rnacentral:rRNA from 1 species
UACGUAGGGUGCGAGCGUUUGUCCGGAAUUAUUGGGCGUAAAGAGCUCGUAGGCGGUUUGUCACGUCUGCUGUGAAAUCCCGAGGCUCAACCUCGGGCCUGCAGUGGGUACGGGCAGACUGGAGUGUGGUAGGGGAGACUGGAAUUCCUGGUGUAGCGGUGAAAUGCGCAGAUAUCAGGAGGAACACCGGUGGCGAAGGCGGGUCUCUGGGCCGAUACUGACGCUGAGGAGCGAAAGCGUGGGGAGCGAACAGG